UGUAAGGUAAACGUACCAGUGGCCGCACACGUCCCAGUCGCCGCACACGACUUUAAUGUUUUCAAUUUAUUAAGCAUUUCGUGAAGAAUAUUGCAAAUUUAAAAAUUGUGUAGGGAUCUACAAUACGUUAUUGUAAUAACAAACAAAUUUGAAGUAUGAUUCUGCACGGAUUACCAUUUAUUUUAAAUUGUUUAUUCGGUCUCGCACGUCACGGCUGUUCGGAUACUGGUACAACCCUGCGAAGUUCGCUAGUCCCAGUAACCGCACAUCGCGUAGCACGCUGUUUUUCGAUCGAUGCAAAGUUGUUACUACGGAAUUAAUUCUGGUGUUUCGAUUAAAAGAAAACAAAAUAUCGUGUGGAAAACCGAUUGAUAAGCUGCGGUCCACUUGACGCCACAAAUGCUUUGAAGCGUUUUUCUUCUUCUUCUUUCUUCAUUGAAGGAGGAAUGCUUCGAAGCAUUUGUAGCAUCAAGUGAACCGCAGCCUAAAUAUCGUAUUGUGCGGACACUGGGUGGGACAUACCGAGUAAAGGCUGUGCGGACACUGAAACUAGAAACCCUAAGCUUCAAGAUGGUUCAAGUCAUUUGUACCAAGCAUGCGUCUAAAUGGGCUAAAUUUGUAUCACAAUCUGAAUUGUGGCUUAAGUGUGCGACCACUGGUACAUUUACCUUAUAU